rnacentral:rRNA from 1 species
AAUAGAUACCCUGGUAGUCCACGCCGUAAACGAUGAGUGCUAAGUGUUAGAGGGUUUCCGCCCUUUAGUGCUGCAGCUAACGCAUUAAGCACUCCGCCUGGGGAGUACGGUCGCAAGACUGAAACUCAAAGGAAUUGACGGGGGCCCGCACAAGCGGUGGAGCAUGUGGUUUAAUUCGAAGCAACGCGAAGAACCUUACCAGGUCUUGACAUCCUCUGACAACUCUAGAGAUAGAGCGUUCCCCUUCGGGGGACAGAGUGACAGGUGGUGCAUGGUUGUCGUCAGCUCGUGUCGUGAGAUGUUGGGUUAAGUCCCGCAACGAGCGCAACCCUUGAUCUUAGUUGCCAGCAUUUAGUUGGGCACUCUAAGGUGACUGCCGGUGACAAACCGGAGGAAGGUGGGGAUGACGUCAAAUCAUCAUGCCCCUUAUGACCUGGGCUACACACGUGCUACAAUGGAUGGUACAAAGGGCUGCAAGACCGCGAGGUCAAGCCAAUCCCAUAAAACCCAUUCUCAGUUCGGAUUGUAGG